AGGGUAAACGCUGGCGGCGUGCCUAAAACAUGCAAGUCGAACGCAUCGUCUUCGGAUGGUGAGUGGCAGACGGCUGAGUAACACGUGGGUGACCGACCCCUCGGUGGGGAAUAACUGCCCGAAAGGGUGGCUAAGACCGCAUACGUCCCGGGCCGUAGGGUCUGGGGGAAAGCGUCGCAAGAGGCGCCGAGGGACGGGCCCGCGUCCGAUUAGCUGGUUGGUGGGGUAAUGGCCUACCAAGGCGACGACGGGUAGCC
rnacentral:rRNA from 1 species